GUCGUUGUGGUGUGUGCGGAGUUCUCCCGGUCGGUGCGUUGUCGUAAAUCCAGCGCUCUCUCUAUCUCACGAGCAUGAGCUCUGGUCACAGGUCACAGCCAUGAGUUCCGGUCACAGGUCACAGCCAUGAGCUCCAUUGGCCAUCUCACAUCACUACUGCGUCGCAUGCGGACCCGUCAACUACGUUGGAGGAUAUGGCUCCAAGUCGUCACAUGCGUCGCCUCCAGAAACUUAAAGCACAUCAUGAUGUGUGUGAGAAACACUACGAGAAGACGAACACAAAGGAGAUAAAGGAGCAGAGGGAGAGCACCUUGGUUUUACAUGGUGGUCUGGAUACAACGAGAGUAUACGAGUGCUCCAGUGACAGUGACAGCACCAUUAUCCUUGACCACACUACAGCUAAAAUUGACGUCGACACAAGUGUACCAGAGCUCAGAAG